UCGAGAAUAUUCCUCAAUGGCCGAAAGGCUGAAGGAGCGACGCCGCGUGUAUGAUGACCCCCCUCGGGGCGUAAAAUACUUUUAACCGGGACGAAAUACUGACGGUACCGGUUGAAUAAGGGGCUGCUAACUUCGUGCCAGCAGCAGCGGUAAUACGAAGGCCCCUAGCGUUAUCCGGAUUUAUUGGGCGUAAAGAGUGUGUAGGCGGUUUAUAACAUCUCCUGUUAAAUCUCAAGGCUCAACCUUGAGGCCGCGGGAGAUAUGGAUAAACUAGAGUUCGGAAGAGGCAAGUGGAAUUGCUGGUGUAGGGGUUAAAUCCGUUAAUAUCAGCAGGAACACCAAAAGCGAAGGCAGCUUGCUGGGACGACACUGACGCUGAGACACGAAAGCGUGGGGAGCGAAUGGG
rnacentral:rRNA from 1 species